UGCUCUGGUGGCCUAGUGGUUAGAGUGUCCGCCUUGGAUGCAGGAGGUCAUGGGUUCGAUCCCUGGUCGAGUCA